GGGAAGGUUCUGGGAGGGCAUAUGGCACCCAGAAUAUGGCUGUAGGCAUUUGUAAAUGGGGUUGUUGACAUUGAGCUUUCAGGAAGAGAAGAUUAAGACACAGAGAUACCAGAGAGGUCGUUCACAGAGGAAAGACCAUGUGAAGACGCAGUGAGAAGGUGGCCAUAUUCAAGCUGAGGAGAGAGACCUCAGAAGAAACCAAUACUGCCAACGCCUUGGUCUUGGACUUCCAGCCUCCAGAACUUUUGCCUCCCAUAUUUUUAUGAUGCCUUUUGAAAGCAUUCUUAAUGGUCCUGGAUCAGAAGAUGCCUGACAAGAGGCCACUAUCAGCAGCAACAGCACAGUGGGGACAAACCUGAGACCUUGAUGGACCGUGGACACCAGCAGGAGAGACAGAGGAACUUGAAGUCUAAAUGGGCAGACAAGACCAACAUACACAAAGCAGAGAGUGGCACAAGAGCCAUGUCUGAUGCAACAGUGACUCAGGAGGAUCACUCUGACUCAGAAUGGCCAAGCAAAGGUAUUGGGAGGAAGUGGGAUAGAACUGAGCUUUGAAGACCGUGCUAAAAUAUUUACAGACUCCCCAGGUUAUCUCAAGUUCUCUCCAGGAAUUAGCUUCACCUCUUUGUGCUUUGGCUCCACAUCAGUUAAAUAGUGGUAACGUUUGAUCGUUAAGAACCAUGUAGAGAUGAAACAA
rnacentral:lncRNA from 1 species